GAUAUACUCCCUACGUUCGGAAUUAUUUGUCGCAGAAAUGGAUGUAUCUAAAUGUAUUUUAGUUCUAGAUACAUCCAUUUCCGAGACAAGUAAUUUUGAACGAAAGGAAUAUUUU
rfam:Triticum aestivum genome assembly, contig: Triticum_aestivum_CS42_TGACv1_scaffold_273414_3DS